rnacentral:rRNA from 1 species
CGCGGCCGCAGAGUUUGAUCAUGGCUCAGAACGAACGUUGGCGGUGUGCCUAAUACAUGCAAGUCGAGCGAGAAAACCGGGGCAACUCGGUGAGUACAGCGGCGGAAGGGUGCGUAAUUCAUGGUUAACGUACCCCCCAGUUCGGGAUAACCCUCCGGAAGGUGGGCUAAUACCGGGUAAUGGCAGCGGGUGGCAUCAUUUGCUGCUUAAAGACGCAAGUCGCUGGGGGAGCGGACCAUGGCCUAUCAGCUAGUUGGCGGGGUAACGGCCCACCAAGGCAAUGACGGGUAGCCGGACUGAGAGGUUGAACGGCCACACGGGACCUGAGACACGGUCCCGACAUCUACGGAUGGCAGCAGUAGGGAAUCUUGCGCAAUGGGCGAAAGCCUGACGCAGCGACACCGCGUGGGGGAUGAAGGCCUUCGGGUUGUAAACCCCUUUCAUGAGGGAAGAACGCUGACCUAACCUCAAGAAGAAGCACCGG